rnacentral:lncRNA from 1 species
GGCAAGAGAAUAAUGCAGUGAGUUGUUAAUGAGAAGACCUGCUCAUCUUGCUUCUGGAUCCCAAGUCCCCAGAGGACCCUGGCUCAACUCCAGCUUAGUGUUGGAACUCUAGCAGUUGGAUGCCUUGAUCUAGAGGGAAACCGGUGCUUUUCCCCAUUUAUCAUCCUCUUACAGAAGAAUUUCACUUGCAGCAACUUUGAACUGCCUCUGAACUCACUCAUGCUGCAGAAGAAUCCAUGCCUGUUUGUUGAUAUUUUGUUUUUCAUGCCUGAAGAGCACAACUGGAACAAACAAGAAGUUGGAGAGUAAGAUGCUUGCCAUAACAAAUCUGUCUGGCCUACAGUGCAUGCAAAUAUACUUGUAAGAAAAUUACCACCCCCAACUUCGCUCAAUGGGUGUCUUUGUUAUUGUACAAUUGUUAAAUGCAUUUCACAAUGAAGUUAUGUUAGAGUGUCAGGCCUCAAAUGGAGAUAAAGCAAUUCCUAAACAUAGUAGGUGGGUGUGAGUAGACAGCUAUUUCUUGUUCGAAUCACUACCACCAGCAUUAUCACUGAGAAGAAGAAUCAACAGGUCUCUUAGAGUGGAAACUGGGACCAGCCCCUCUCCUUCCUCCUGCCUGCACUCUCUGCCCAGGAGGUAGCAAGUUUGAAUCUAUUCUAAUGGCAUCCUUGAAAGGAUAUAAGCUUGUUUGGGGGAGCAAGGUCAGUCACCAUAACUCCAAC